rnacentral:rRNA from 1 species
UGGGGAAUAUUGGACAAUGGGCGAAAGCCUGAUCCAGCCAUGCCGCGUGUGUGAAGAAGGUCUUCGGAUUGUAAAGCACUUUAAGUUGGGAGGAAGGGCAUUAACCUAAUACGUUAGUGUUUUGACGUUACCGACAGAAUAAGCACCGGCUAACUCUGUGCCAGCAGCCGCGGUAAUACAGAGGGUGCAAGCGUUAAUUGGAAUUACUGGGCGUAAAGCGCGCGUAGGUGGUUUGUUAAGUUGGAUGUGAAAUCCCCGGGCUCAACCUGGGAACUGCAUUCAAAACUGACUGACUAGAGUAUGGUAGAGGGUGGUGGAAUUUCCUGUGUAGCGGUGAAAUGCGUAGAUAUAGGAAGGAACACCAGUGGCGAAGGCGACCACCUGGACUAAUACUGACACUGAGGUGCGAAAGCGUGGGGAGCAAACA